GGCGCUAUAGCCAAGUGGUUACGGCGACAGAUUCGAAUCUGGUCCGAUUGUAUACCAGUUAUCGAUAUCUGUUCCUCUUUGAGGGCGCAGGUUCAAAUCCUGCUGGCGUCG
rfam:Gymnopus luxurians FD-317 M1 unplaced genomic scaffold GYMLTscaffold_100, whole genome shotgun sequence.